rnacentral:lncRNA from 1 species
GUUGAGGGGCUUGAUUGGUUAUCAUUUGGUCCGUCUGUUGUCUACUGAUUUCUUGAAUAUAAGCACGAUUUCUAAUAAUAUUAUUUCUGGGUUUUUGAUUUAUUGUGAAAGUCUCUCUGAUUCUACUAUAAUUUCUGUGAGUUAAGAUAAGAUCCCAGAAAAUUUGAGAGCUUUUCUGAAGUGGGUUUUACGAAUUUUAAUUAUUUAAGGAUCUGCUUUGCUUAAGUUCCUUAUUUCGACAUUUAGAACACUGUUUCUUGAAUAAAUCGUUGAUAGCAACUCAUCUCUUUAAAUAAAAUUAUUUAUUUGCAGAUAGUUUUGGGGAAAAAAUUGAAAGUAAUCUGCUGAUAUAAUUCUUGAUACAAUUCAAUCAAUUACGAUUUCUGUGACUCAUGAAAGAAUGUUGAACCAAAAGAUUUUUUAUUAGAUUUCUCAGGUU